GAUGAACGCUGACAGAAUGCUUAACACAUGCAAGUCCACUUGAACUUCGGUUUGGGUGGCGGACGGGUGAGUAACGCGUAAAGAACUUGCCUCACAGAUAGGGACAACAUUUGGAAACGAAUGCUAAUACCUGAUAUUAUGAUUAUAUGGCAUCGUAUAAUUAUGAAAGCUAUAUGCGCUGUGAGAGAGCUUUGCGUCCCAUUAGCUAGUUGGAGAGGUAACGGCUCACCAAGGCGAUGAUGGGUAGCCGGCCUGAGAGGGUGAUCGGCCACAAGGGGACUGGGACACGGCCCUUACUCCUACGGGAGGCAGCAGUGGGGAAUAUUGGACAAUGGACCAAGAGUCUGAUCCAGCAAUUCUGUGUGCACGAUGAAGUUUUUCGGAAUGUAAAGUGCUUUCAGUUGGGAAGAAAAAAAUGACGAUACCAACAGAAGAAGUGACGGCUAAAUACGUG
rnacentral:rRNA from 1 species